rnacentral:rRNA from 1 species
UACGUAGGGCGCAAGCGUUGUCCGGAAUUAUUGGGCGUAAAGAGCUCGUAGGCGGCUUGUCACGUCGAUUGUGAAAGCCCGAGGCUUAACCUCGGGUCUGCAGUCGAUACGGGCUAGCUAGAGUGUGGUAGGGGAGAUCGGAAUUCCUGGUGUAGCGGUGAAAUGCGCAGAUAUCAGGAGGAACACCGGUGGCGAAGGCGGAUCUCUGGGCCAUUACUGACGCUGAGGAGCGAAAGCGUGGGGAGCGAAUGGG